AUUGAACGCUGGCGGCAGGCCUAACACAUGCAAGUCGAACGAGUGGCGGACGGGUGAGUACUGUCUGGGAAACUGCCUGAUGGAAGUGGCUAACUACUGGAAAAGGUAGCUAAUACCGCAUACCAUCGGAUGUGCCCAGAUGGGAUUAGCUAGUAGGUGGAGUAACGGCUCACCUCGGCGACGAUCCCUAGCUGGUCUGAGAGGAUGACCAUCCACACUGGAACGUGUCCACGGUCCCGAGUCCUACGGGAGGUAGCAGUGGGGAAUAUUGCACAAUGGGCGCAAGCCUGAUGCAGCCAUGCCGCGUGUAUGAAGAAGGCCUUCGGGUUGUAAAGUACUUGCAGCGGGGAGGCGUUACCCGCAGAAGAAGCACCGGCUAACUCCGUGCCAGCCGCCGCGGUAAUUC
rnacentral:rRNA from 1 species